rnacentral:rRNA from 2 species
GGAGCAGCCCAGAGCCUGAAUCAGUGUGUGUGUUAGUGGAAGCGUCUGGAAAGGCGUGCGAUACAGGGUGACAGCCCCGUACACAAAAAUGCACAUACUGUGAGCUCGAUGAGUAGGGCGGGACACGUGGUAUCCUGUCUGAAUAUGGGGGGACCAUCCUCCAAGGCUAAAUACUCCUGACUGACCGAUAGUGAACCAGUACCGUGAGGGAAAGGCGAAAAGAACCCCGGCGAGGGGAGUGAAAAAGAACCUGAAACCGUGUACGUACAAGCAGUGGGAGCACGCUUAGGCGUGUGACUGCGUACCUUUUGUAUAAUGGGUCAGCGACUUAUAUUCUGUAGCAAGGUUAACCGAAUAGGGGAGCCGAAGGGAAACCGAGUCUUAACUGGGCGUUAAGUUGCAGGGUAUAGACCCGAAACCCGGUGAUCUAGCCAUGGGCAGGUUGAAGGUUGGGUAACACUAACUGGAGGACCGAACCGACUAAUGUUGAAAAAUUAGCGGAUGACUUGUGGCUGGGGGUGAAAGGCCAAUCAAACCGGGAGAUAGCUGGUUCUCCCCGAAAGCUAUUUAGGUAGCGCCUCGUGAAUUCAUCUCCGGGGGUAGAGCACUGUUUCGGCAAGGGGGUCAUCCCGACUUACCAACCCGAUGCAAACUGCGAAUACCGGAGAAUGUUAUCACGGGAGACACACGGCGGGUGCUAACGUCCGUCGUGAAGAGGGAAACAACCCAGACCGCCAGCUAAGGUCCCAAAGUCAUGGUUAAGUGGGAAACGAUGUGGGAAGGCCCAGACAGCCAGGAUGUUGGCUUAGAAGCAGCCAUCAUUUAAAGAAAGCGUAAUAGCUCACUGGUCGAGUCGGCCUGCGCGGAAGAUGUAACGGGGCUAAACCAUGCACCGAAGCUGCGGCAGCGACGCUUAUGCGUUGUUGGGUAGGGGAGCGUUCUGUAAGCCUGUGAAGGUGUGCUGUGAGGUAUGCUGGAGGUAUCAGAAGUGCGAAUGCUGACAUAAGUAACGAUAAAGCGGGUGAAAAGCCCGCUCGCCGGAAGACCAAGGGUUCCUGUCCAACGUUAAUCGGGGCAGGGUGAGUCGACCCCUAAGGCGAGGCCGAAAGGCGUAGUCGAUGGGAAACAGGUUAAUAUUCCUGUACUUGGUGUUACUGCGAAGGGGGGACGGAGAAGGCUAUGUUGGCCGGGCGACGGUUGUCCCGGUUUAAGCGUGUAGGCUGGUUUUCCAGGCAAAUCCGGAAAAUCAAGGCCGAGGCGUGAUGACGAGGCACUACGGUGCUGAAGCAACAAAUGCCCUGCUUCCAGGAAAAGCCUCUAAGCAUCAGGUAACAUCAAAUCGUACCCCAAACCGACACAGGUGGUCAGGUAGAGAAUACCAAGGCGCUUGAGAGAACUCGGGUGAAGGAACUAGGCAAAAUGGUGCCGUAACUUCGGGAGAAGGCACGCUGAUACGUAGGUGAAGCGACUUGCUCGUGGAGCUGAAAUCAGUCGAAGAUACCAGCUGGCUGCAACUGUUUAUUAAAAACACAGCACUGUGCAAACACGAAAGUGGACGUAUACGGUGUGACGCCUGCCCGGUGCCGGAAGGUUAAUUGAUGGGGUUAGCGCAAGCGAAGCUCUUGAUCGAAGCCCCGGUAAACGGCGGCCGUAACUAUAACGGUCCUAAGGUAGCGAAAUUCCUUGUCGGGUAAGUUCCGACCUGCACGAAUGGCGUAAUGAUGGCCAGGCUGUCUCCACCCGAGACUCAGUGAAAUUGAACUCGCUGUGAAGAUGCAGUGUACCCGCGGCAAGACGGAAAGACCCCGUGAACCUUUACUAUAGCUUGACACUGAACAUUGAGCCUUGAUGUGUAGGAUAGGUGGGAGGCUUUGAAGUGUGGACGCCAGUCUGCAUGGAGCCGACCUUGAAAUACCACCCUUUAAUGUUUGAUGUUCUAACGUGGACCCGUGAUCCGGGUUGCGGACAGUGUCUGGUGGGUAGUUUGACUGGGGCGGUCUCCUCCUAAAGAGUAACGGAGGAGCACGAAGGUUGGCUAAUCCUGGUCGGACAUCAGGAGGUUAGUGCAAUGGCAUAAGCCAGCUUGACUGCGAGCGUGACGGCGCGAGCAGGUGCGAAAGCAGGUCAUAGUGAUCCGGUGGUUCUGAAUGGAAGGGCCAUCGCUCAACGGAUAAAAGGUACUCCGGGGAUAACAGGCUGAUACCGCCCAAGAGUUCAUAUCGACGGCGGUGUUUGGCACCUCGAUGUCGGCUCAUCACAUCCUGGGGCUGAAGUAGGUCCCAAGGGUAUGGCUGUUCGCCAUUUAAAGUGGUACGCGAGCUGGGUUUAGAACGUCGUGAGACAGUUCGGUCCCUAUCUGCCGUGGGCGCUGGAGAACUGAGGGGGGCUGCUCCUAGUACGAGAGGACCGGAGUGGACGCAUCACUGGUGUUCGGGUUGUCAUGCCAAUGGCACUGCCCGGUAGCUAAAUGCGGAAGAGAUAAGUGCUGAAAGCAUCUAAGCACGAAACUUGCCCCGAGAUGAG